GCAGUUCCCUGCAACACCUAUUUCCAGUCUGUGCUUAUUGAUACGUCACCUUUUUCUGCAACAGGUUACAACAAAUAAGAAAAGGGGACCACUGCCUAGUAACCAUAUCAGCAGCCACUGCUAAAAAUUCGUCGAGCAGUUCAGUACUUAAAGAAAGUAGAACGGCUUUAGUGCCUGAAAAAGCACACCUGAGGGCAGCGGUUUCGCAGUUCGGGUGAAUCACACACGCGGUCGUGGGCAGUCGUUACGAGCACUUCAGUUCCUCCUGACGUGAAACUGGUUCAUCAUGAGCUUGGAGAUACCACGAAUGGCGAUACUCGCUGUACUGGUUUUUCUAUUCUUUAUCAGCUUAUUUUUAUCGAAGUUUCUAGAAAUGCAGCAAACAAGCGUGAUGCAGGGGAUACCACACCCUGAGCAUGUGAGGGACCUAGAAACAGCGACGCAGCCUUGUAUUCCUCAGAAUUCAGUGUACUUCCUCAAGGUUCCGAAGCGCGC
rnacentral:lncRNA from 1 species